rnacentral:rRNA from 1 species
GGCUAUGCGUUUUAAUUUUUAACUCUAUUUAUUGUGAUGUCCUAAUGUUUUUGAUUUAUUUUUUAAGUUAUUUUUGUAAAAUGUUUUAAUUUGUUUUUUUUUCUUAGGGUGUUAAAAGUUUGUUUUUUGAACUGGAUUAGUACCCAGGUAAUCAAAAUUAAUUAAUUCGGGAGUAAAGUUUUGUUUAAACCGAAAAAAUAUUGACUGACUUUAGAUUUUUCUUUGGAACAUGUGUUUUUUGGAGAGCCCUCCUUUUUAGUUAUUUUUAUCGGCACAUGUAUGAUUGUUUAGUUUUUAUUUUAUUUUGUAAUGCUUUUUUUGUUUUUUACAUUUAAAACAGAUAUAUAUUUGGCUUAUGAAUUUAUUUUUCAUGUGUUACUAUUAUGAAUUGUUUUGGAUUGAUUUUUUAUUUUUUUUUUGAAAUUGGAAAAGAAAGUAAUUUUUUUUGA